CCCAUUUUAAUUUAAUUUCUGUUGUUAAAGCUUUUUCUAAUUUGAUAAACAGAAAAAGCUUUAACAACAGAAAUUAAAUUAAAAUGGGAAAUUGCUAC